CAGGCGUAAUUCUGAAAAGCCUCAAUAGAGUAGGAG
rfam:Kordia algicida OT-1 1103813601120 genomic scaffold, whole genome shotgun sequence.